CUAGCACUUUCACAGGUCCUCCCCUAGGCAGUGGGGCCAGGAUUUGGUAGCUGGUGCUGAAAGAAAUCCUUGACUGCAUCCUUGCCCUGGUGCUGUACCAGUGGUAGCUGUCCAUUGGGACACAG
ensembl:snoRNA